GCCAUCAUACACAACAUUCUCAUCACAAGUCAUACACAAUUCCAGCACACUAGUUCUUCCACAACAGAGGUUCAAACAUACAAAGGUUCCACCACAAAGGUUUGAAGCAUUCAAACAGAGUGCACAUAGUUCUGACAAAGUUCUAACCAUAGAUAGAAAAACCUUAAGCAAAGGCAUCAUCCUCAGACUUGGUAUGCAUCCCUACCUCAAUCUUUCUGAAGUUUCAGGACAGCUCGUAGCAGUGCAUUGGUCUCUUCAAACUUGGUAUGCAUCCCCUUCACUUCCUCUUGGGCCUGGCGCAACAAACUUUGGUUUUCUUCAAGUGCGGCCUGUUGAGCUUGUAGUUGUGCUUGCAACUCUUCCUGCUUCCUAGCAGCUUCCUCUCUUUCAGCUUUGUGCAGAGGGAGAUUGCCAGGUCGCUGACUCCCUAAACGUUCUGCACACCAAUUUUCAGGCGGUGAGUAGGCAUCUCCUGACUGAAGGCCAAUACUCUGAAGUUCAUUUGAUUCACCAUCAUAUAGUUC
rnacentral:misc_RNA from 1 species